rnacentral:rRNA from 1 species
GCUUUAUGAUUAAAUAUAAAGUAUCGUCUGCCCAAUGAAUUUUUAAUGGCCGCAUAAUUUGUGAAAAAGUAGCAUAAUAAAUUGUUUUUUAAUUAAAGACUAGAAUGAAAGGCUUGACGGGGAAAAACUUUCUCAGAGUGUAUUAUUUGAAUUUUAUUUUUUUGUAAAAAAGCAAAAAUUUUUUAAAGGGACGAUAAGACCCUAUAGAGUUUAAUAAUGUGAUUUUGUUAAUUUGAUUAAUAAAAAAAAAUUAUUUAAUUGGGGAGAUUUAAUAUAAAACUAUUAAAAAUAAAAGAAAAUAAAAUUUUUAUGAACUAGUUUUUUAUUUUUUGAAAAAUUACCUUAGGGAUAACAGCAUAAUAUUUUUUUAGAGUUCUAAUCGAUAAAAAUGUUUAUGACCUCGAUGUUGGAUUAAAGGGUUUGAUUAAAGAAGAUAUUAAUUUAAUUAGUCUGUUCGACUAUUGAAACUUUACA